AGACUGCCGGUCAGCUGAGAAGCGAAGAUACAUGGAGUCAGACGUUGUGGUACAGAGCUGAUCCAUGUCAAGUUUGCUGGAGCAUAUGUGUGUGUGUUUGUCCAUUCCUUGGCAUACCUAGCAGACUAUUUCCAGGGAAGGUCUCCUCACAUCUACAGAUAUACUACACACACGAGAGACCCCAAAGUGAGCAAAUCUUUUGCUCAGCUUCAGAGUGUGAACUUGUUUGCAAAGACAGUCAGGUUACCGAGGCUUAAUGAAGUAGCCCACUGUAAUUAUGAGGAAAAACACAUUAACCUGCCCCA